GAUGAAGAACGUAGCGAAAUGCGAUACGUAAUGUGAAUUGCAGAAUUCAGUGAAUCAUCGAAUCUUUGAACGCAUAUUGCGCUCCCUGGUAUUCCGGAGAGCAUGCUUGUUUGAGUAUCAGUAAACACCUCAACUUCCAUAUCUUUUUUGAAAUGGGAGUUGGACUUGAGUGAUCCCAACGCUUUUCCUCACCGAAAAGUGGCGGGUUACUUGAAAUGCAGGUGCAGCUGGACUUUUCUCUGAGCUAUAAGCAUAUCUAUUUAGUCUGCCUAAAAAACAGAUUAUUACCUUUGCUGCAGCUAACAUAAAGGAGAUUAGUUCUUGUGCUGACUGAUGCAGGAUUCACAAAGACAGGCUUCGGCCGACUUUGUAAACUCGAUCUCAAAUCAAGUAAGACUACCCGCUGAACUUAAGCAUAUCAUAAGCGGAGGA
rnacentral:misc_RNA from 1 species